rnacentral:rRNA from 1 species
CGAAAGCCUGACGGAGCAAGACCGCGUGGGGGAUGAAGGCUCUUGGGUUGUAAACCUCUUUUCUCAGGGAAGAAGCACUGACGGUACCUGAGGAAUCAGCAUCGGCUAACUCCGUGCCAGCAGCCGCGGUAAUACGGAGGAUGCAAGCGUUAUCCGGAAUGAUUGGGCGUAAAGCGUCCGUAGGUAGCAGUGUGUGUCUAUUGUUAAAGAGUUUGGCUUAACCAAAUAAAGGCGGUAGAAACUACACAGCUAGAGUGCGUUCGGGGCAGAGGGAAUUCCUGGUGUAGCGGUGAAAUGCGUAGAGAUCAGGAAGAACACCGGUGGCGAAAGCGCUCUGCUGGGCCGUAACUGACACUCAUGGACGAAAGCUAGGGGAGCG